rnacentral:lncRNA from 1 species
UUUCAUUCUGACCCUCUGCUAAUCAUCUGAUCCACGCAAUCUAAACUCACCUAUGGAACAAGAGACACCAGCACCAUCCAGCCCCUUUAUUGAUCAUCAUUCUUUGCCAGAGGAAUUGUGUGAAAUGAAUACAGAGUUUUGUGAGAAAGAUGUAACAUACUCACAAGUCAAAAUUUAUGACUCUUCAAACAUUCAGGAGACGAAAAAAAACAGGAUUUUAAAGAGAAGAGGAUCUCCAUGGUGCAUUGCUGCAGUGAUAUUUGCCUUGCUCUAUUUAAUUGCUCUGAUAAUAGCUUCAAUUAUGAUAGCUAAAGUUUCUUGUCUAGAAGGGAUUCUGAAUACAAAUGAAACCAGUCUGCAAAGAGGGGUUUCAUACUGCGAAAUAAUAUAGCUGAACAGGUAUGUAUUGGGUUACAAUGGGAAUCUUGAUAUUAAUGUAAACUGUUUAAAUCUCGAUGUAUGUAUACAAUUAGUAAAUAUAAGAUCAAAAUUAAUAACACAGUGCACUUAGAGAAAUUCUCGUCUAUCAUGAACUUCUCUUGAAGUUAGAAAGCAUAAUUGAAAAAGUUAAUACAAAAAUUAUAGUACAUAGAGAUAUCAUGGGUGACAAAGUUAUCUUCAUGUAUAUACUUUUUGUUUGUAAAGGUAACUGGUCCUUCUCUGAAGAAAAUUGAUAUUUUACUUGUGCUGAAAAUAAAAUCUUGGCAACAAGGAAAAUGUUCUCAAGUACUGAGAUCCAGUCUAAUCAAGACACAUAACAAGGAAGAAUUGGAAAUAUAUGGCAUGAUAUUUCUUUCUAUAUUUUUUUGUGCAGAAGAUAAGUAUAGAGAUAUUUUUACAUCUUGAGUUCAUUCAAACAUGCUAAACUCUAUAUAUUAUAAUAUUUGGAGCUUUCUUAACCAAACCCAAAAUAUCAAAAUAUGGGCUUAAAUGAUUAUGUGAGGCUUAAAUUAUAAAUAUAUUUGCAUAGAAAAGUAAAUAUUGAUAUAUUACAAUUUCAGACCUUGGCAAAUGAAGGGGGGAUACCACAUAGAACAUAAAACUAAAGGCAUUCAGUCACAAUUAGCACUUAAGAAAUAUUUAACAUCUAUUGAUUUCUUCUAGUAUUCAUAUACUACUUGAAUAUAUCAUGUAUUAAAGCAUGUACUGCCCCAAUAACCUUAUUAUUGUUGUUGCCAAAUGAUAAAGAAGCAGGCCAAGAGCGGAUAAGAAAUCUUUCCAGAAUUGUCUAGCUAGUAAGAAUUAGAGACAUGAUUUAAGCCAAUAUUGCUUUACUCUAGAGAACAUGCAUCAAACCAUUACACCAUGCUGACCCUAAAAUAAAAAAUCAUAUCACAUCAAGUUGUAAGAAUAUUUCUUCUUUAGAAAUAUACAGAGCUAUAGAUUUACUUUUUUCCCCAGGAUAUAUAUUUCAGAGAGGAAUAAAUGAGAAAAAUAACUUCCAAGAAUGAAACACUAUACUAGUUCUUCAUGAAGAGUAACUUUUUAUACUAAUUAUCUUCUGGAAUAUUAAACAAAAAGAGAUUAAUAGAAGUGAUUUUUUUUCCCUUAGUAGAUUCUAGUGAGCUUUGAAAAUAUGUCUUUGUUUUUUAGUUCUCAUCUACUAUGUGGAUGUUUCCUCUGUAUUGUUUCUUCUUUUUCAUUGGAUUCGUGUUCUGUUAAUUGCCUUUAAUAAAGACUUCAUUCCAUAUCAGUGAUGGUAGAUUCAUGAUAUAGAUGCUGACAAUUUCCACAUGGUGCUCUUGGAAGACACUCCUCAUAAUGACAACAUUCUCCCUGACUAAGGCUGGACUCCACUCUGAAUAAUUUUCAACAAGCAAACCUGAAAGUCUUUCCUAGCUGCAUUGCUCCCAUCUCAUCUACAUACUAUACUUCAAAGUAAACUUGUAUAGACAGAUCAUCAGCAAACUCUUACAGGAAAAGCAAAUUUAAAAUGUACCUGAAAAAUAAUGAGUUUGUUAAAGCAAUGUCUCCUAAUGAUCUAUUACCUCAAAAUUUCCUUUUGUAAAUCACAAUUUAUUCAUAACUAAUAGUGGAAGAGAUAAUGUCUCAGAAUGUUCCAAAACUGAUAGAAGACCUCAAACUACAUAUUGACACAGCAUUAUGAACCCCAGAAGAAAACAGUUAUGCAUAUCAUUAUAUUUGCUGAAAACCAAAGACAAAUAAAAGCUGAAAGGCCAGCAGAGAAAUACAGAAUUUACUUGUAAAGAAGCAAAUGGUAGCUAACCUAUAAAAACAUGAAAGCCAUAUAAUUACUGAAAGACAAUUGCCAUACUAAAACUAUAUCUCUAGAGAAAAGAUUCUGACUAUAUGAGAAACAUAUGAGGGUAUAAUUAUCUUCCAUAGGUGAAAUAAAGAUAAUUUACAUAGAGAAAAAAUUCAUCCCUGAAGUCUGCACUAAGGAUAGACUGUCAUGGUCUUUAGAUUUAAGGAAAUAAUCCCAAGUUAAACCAAUAAUCAGGAUAAAGUGCAAUGAAAUAGAUAACAUGGGUAUAAAUCUAAAUGAACAGUGAUUAUAGAAAACCAUAAUAUUAAUGUCUAUGGUUUAAAAUUGCAUGAUCUCGAAGUACAUUGUGAGUGUUGUAAUUAAAUUAAAAGGGAGGUAUAUGAAGUUAAGAGUACCUAAGGCUAAUAAAAUAGCUAAGAAGAGAUAAAGCAUCUAUUUAUCUUGGACAUUCAUAAACUCAAGAAUGCAUGUUGAAAUUUUCAGGAUAACCACUAAAAUAAUAACAAAAUAUUAGGUAACUAUGAGGAUAACAAAGGAAUUAUCUUAAUUAAUGGAAUGAUAAUAAUUUAAUGGAAUAAUUCCUGAUAGAAUAAUAUUCAGUGAACUCAAUGAAGCAGAAGUAUUUAUAUUAGAAUCAUUCUUAGACAAAGAUGCUGAGGGCUACAGGAGUUCAAGCAAGAACUUCAGACUUAUCUCUUGGCUCCUUCCUGGCUAUUCAGGGUCCCAGAAAGUGUAGAGGGUUGAUAUUAGUGUAUGAGAAUGAAAUCAACUCUAAUUUCAAAAAUUGAAAGAAGCUUAAAUGCCUCCAAGUCAAUUUUCUUGUGUUCUCCUUUUCCUAUCAACUACUUCACUUGCAGAAUAAUUUUAUUUAUCUCUCUCAAUUGUUCCUUUUCUUAGAACCUACUUAGGUUCCCUUGACUUCUUCAUAUUCUUAUAGAUUCAUUUAUCACAUAUAUAUAUAUAUAUGCACACCAAUAAUAUAUUUUUCUCUACGUUUUAUUAGAAAAAAAAUAGCUAUGUUGUUUUAUAAGAGGAAGCCACAUUAAGAAGCCUCAUCUUCAUUUCAUUCUGCCUCCCUGUUUCUUUCAGUCUCAAGUAAAGACCUAAAAUAAAUAUCCAAGGUCCUUUUGCUCUGUGUCCUCCCCUUAACAUGUAUGUCUGUAAGAACUAGUUUAUUAUCCUAAUGCAGAUCUGAUGGUAGCUAAUUCUUCAAACUAUUUCGAUAGCUGAGGCUCCAGGCAUAUUUAUUAUCUUAAUUUCUCUUUUCAAUAGAUUUUCUGCACCAGGAUUUUGCAGUCCCCAUAUGUAAUUCCCAUGAUCUUAUAUUAUUACUGCUAUUACAUUUAAGCUGAAUGCUCCAUCAUUGCUCUUUCAAAAGAAGGUAUAUCUCACCCCAAAUUAUAUAUUUAUAACAGUGAUCAUAGAGCUCUUCAAGGAUGCAUGGCCUCCCCUUACGAAUUUAUUUUUCACAGUUAUAUCUUCCAGAUCUUCCCCAUAUGGAUGAAUGGUCUUGAAUGACAAAUUCAUUCUAACAUUCCGAUCUCCCUAAGCCAUCGAAUCCCUUCCUCUACAUUAAACCAAGGCAGGUUCAGCAUUGUGGGUACUGUUUGUCAAAUCAUUGUGAUGUAUCCUGAAAUUAAUAUAAUGUUAUAUGUCAA